AUGGAGCCUGGGAAGAAGAAUCUUUCAGUGAGAUCACCAUGUUCCUAUAAUCAUCAGUCACUGAAUAUAUCACAGUUGCAGCUUGAGAGUAAAGAGCCUAUAGGGUUUUUGUAUGAGUCUGUAUCAUAGUGCGGGGUGUUCGGCAGUGGGACCAAACUGACCGUCUUAGGCCAGCCCAAGGCUACACCUUCAGUUACUAUGUUCCCACCUUCCGCUGAGGAGCUCCAGACCACCAGAGCCACAGUGGUGUGUAUGAUCAAUGAAUUCUACCCAGGUGUUGUGGAUGUGUCCUGGGAGGCAGAUGGCACACCUAUUACCAAGGGUGUGGAGACUACCCAGCCUUCCAAACAGAGCAACGACAAGUACAUGGCUGUCAGCUACCUGUCCUUGACAGAAGAAGAGUGGAGAUCUAAAAAUGUUUACAAGUGCAAGGCUGUUCAUGAAGGGAACACUGUGGAGAAGAGCUUGUGCCCUAGUGAGUGUUCCUAGGUCUUCUGAACUGCAUCUUAGCCACAGAGGCUGGGAUCAGAAUUAUGCCCAAGUAUACCUCUAAUGCUUUU